rnacentral:lncRNA from 8 species
AUGCUGACUCUCAAAAACACAUCUUCACUGCCAGUCUGCCAAGGUCAACCUGCUAACAGAAUAGAGGCAACCAAUAGCAUCACUUUAGAUAUGUCUCUAAACCACACUCAUCAUACUGUAGGUCAACAGUUUCAGACAUACCACGUCUUCAACAGACACCUCUACCAGCCCCACACCACACGUCUUCAACAUGCACCUCUACCAGCCCCACACCACACGUCUUCAACAUGCACCUCUACCAGCCCCACACCACACGUCUUCAACAGGCACCUCUACCAGCCCCACGUCUUCAACAGGCACCUCUACCAGCCCCACACCACACGUCUUCAACGGGCACGUCUACCAGCCCCACACCACACGUCUUCAACAGGCACCUCUACCAGCCCCACACCACACGUCUUCAACGGGCACGUCUACCAGCCCCACACCACACGUCUUCAACAGGCACCUCUACCAGCCCCACACCACACGUCUUCAACAGGCACCUCUACCAGCCCCACACCACACGUCUUCAACAGGCACCUCUACCAGCCCCACACCACACGUCUUCAACGGGCACCUCUACCAGCCCCACACCACACGUCUUCAACAGGCACCUCUACCAGCCCCACACCACACGUCUUCAACAGGCACCUCUACCAGCCCCACACCACACGUCUUCAACAGGCACCUCUACCAGCCCCACACCACACGUCUUCAACAGGCACCUCUACCAGCCCCACACCACACGUCUUCAACAGGCACCUCUACCAGCCCCACACCACACGUCUUCAACAGGCACCUCUACCAGCCCCACGUCUUCAACAGGCACCUCUACCAGCCCCACACCACACGUCUUCAACGGGCACGUCUACCAGCCCCACACCACACGUCUUCAACAGGCACCUCUACCAGCCCCACACCACACGUCUUCAACAGGCACCUCUACCAGCCCCACACCCCACGUCUUCAACAGGCACCUCUACCAGCCCCACACCACACGUCUUCAACAGGCACCUCUACCAGCCCCACACCACACGUCUUCAACAGGCACCUCUACCAGCCCCACACCACACGUCUUCAACAGGCACCUCUACCAGCCCCACACCACACGUCUUCAACAGGCACCUCUACCAGCCCCACACCACACGUCUUCAACAGGCACCUCUACCAGCUCCUCAGACCAAUGUUGCUAUUUGCAAUAUCAAAAACAAAAUGGCCUCACUGUGGAAUCCUACCUGA